rnacentral:rRNA from 1 species
UACGGAGGAUGCAAGCGUUAUCCGGAUUUAUUGGGUUUAAAGGGUGCGCAGGCGGACUAAUAAGUCAGUGGUGAAAUUUACAUGCUUAACAUGUGACGUGCCAUUGAUACUGUUAGACUAGUAUACAAAUGACGUAGCUGGAAUGUGUUAUGUAGCGGUGAAAUGCAUAGAUAUCGGGAGGAACACCGGUGGCGAAGGCGGCUUUCUGGCCAGUUACUGACGCUCAUGCGCGAAAGCUGGGGGUAGCGAACCCGGAUUAGA